rnacentral:rRNA from 1 species
GCAGUCGAGCGGUAGCACAGAGAGCUUGCUCUCGGGUGACGAGCGGCGGACGGGUGAGUAAUGUCUGGGAAACUGCCUGAUGGAGGGGGAUAACUACUGGAAACGGUAGCUAAUACCGCAUAACGUCGCAAGACCAAAGUGGGGGACCUUCGGGCCUCAUGCCAUCAGAUGUGCCCAGAUGGGAUUAGCUAGUAGGUGGGGUAACGGCUCACCUAGGCGACGAUCCCUAGCUGGUCUGAGAGGAUGACCAGCCACACUGGAACUGAGACACGGUCCAGACUCCUACGGGAGGCAGCAGUGGGGAAUAUUGCACAAUGGGCGCAAGCCUGAUGCAGCCAUGCCGCGUGUAUGAAGAAGGCCUUCGGGUUGUAAAGUACUUUCAGCGGGGAGGAAGGCGAUAAGGUUAAUAACCUUGUCGAUUGACGUUACCCGCAGAAGAAGCACCGGCUAACUCCGUGCCAGCAGCCGCGGUAAUACGGAGGGUGCAAGCGUUAAUCGGAAUUACUGGGCGUAAAGCGCACGCAGGCGGUCUGUCAAGUCGGAUGUGAAAUCCCCGGGCUCAACCUGGGAACUGCAUUCGAAACUGGCAGGCUAGAGUCUUGUAGAGGGGGGUAGAAUUCCAGGUGUAGCGGUGAAAUGCGUAGAGAUCUGGAGGAAUACCGGUGGCGAAGGCGGCCCCCUGGACAAAGACUGACGCUCAGGUGCGAAAGCGUGGGGAGCAAACAGGAUUAGAUACCCUGGUAGUCCACGCCGUAAACGAUGUCGAUUUGGAGGUUGUGCCCUUGAGGCGUGGCUUCCGGAGCUAACGCGUUAAAUCGACCGCCUGGGGAGUACGGCCGCAAGGUUAAAACUCAAAUGAAUUGACGGGGGCCCGCACAAGCGGUGGAGCAUGUGGUUUAAUUCGAUGCAACGCGAAGAACCUUACCUGGUCUUGACAUCCACAGAACUUAGCAGAGAUGGUUUGGUGCCUUCGGGAACUGUGAGACAGGUGCUGCAUGGCUGUCGUCAGCUCGUGUUGUGAAAUGUUGGGUUAAGUCCCGCAACGAGCGCAACCCUUAUCCUUUGUUGCCAGCGGUCCGGCCGGGAACUCAAAGGAGACUGCCAGUGAUAAACUGGAGGAAGGUGGGGAUGACGUCAAGUCAUCAUGGCCCUUACGACCAGGGCUACACACGUGCUACAAUGGCAUAUACAAAGAGAAGCGACCUCGCGAGAGCAAGCGGACCUCAUAAAGUAUGUCGUAGUCCGGAUUGGAGUCUGCAACUCGACUCCAUGAAGUCGGAAUCGCUAGUAAUCGUAGAUCAGAAUGCUACGGUGAAUACGUUCCCGGGCCUUGUACACACCGCCCGUCACACCAUGGGAGUGGGUUGCAAAAGAAGUAGGUAGCUUAACCUUCGGGAGGGCG